GUGGGGAAUAUUGGGCAAUGGGCGCAAGCCUGACCCAGCAACGCCGCGUGAAGGAAGAAGGCUUUCGGGUUGUAAACUUCUUUUGUCAGGGACGAAGCAAGUGACGGUACCUUACUAGAAAGCCCCGGCUAACUACGUGCCAGCAGCCGCGGUAAUACGUAGGGGGCGAGCGUUACCCGGAAUCACUGGGCGUAAAGGGAGCGUAGGUGGCCUAACAUGUCAACUGUGAAAACCCGGAGCUCAACUCCGGACUUGCAGUUGAAACUGGUAGGCUUGAGGACGGUAGAGGAAGACGGAACUGCCAGUGUAGGGGUAAAAUCCUUAGAUAUUGGCAGGAACGCCGGUGACGAAGGUGGUUUUCUGGGCCGGUUCUGACACUGAUGCUCGAAAGCCAGGGGAGCGAACGGGAUUAGAAACCCCAGUAGUCC
rnacentral:rRNA from 1 species